UCUCCCUGGCGGGUUGCUUUCUCCGCCGGAGAAUUUAGGGAAUCUUGUCCAGGCUUUCAGGGCUGGUUGGAAUGCACCCUUUUCUCAGUGCCAGCCCUUGAUAGGCGCGAACUAGUUGCACUUGCUGGAUGAGUUAGGGAAAGCCUUCUUAAAGAAGAAAUGCAUGGGUCAGCCGGGAGGAGUUUUUACUUCGACUCAAGAUCUGUAUUCAAAGAAGGAAAGCUUGCUUGAGGAGGUCAUUCCUGAGCCAAACCAGGCAAAGAAAAUGGAAAGAGCUUUCCAGGCAAAGGAAGUACUUGAAACAAAAUCCGAUGGCAUGAAUCAAUAUAGCCCAACUGUGCAGUCACAGUAAGCAGUCACGUUGUAUUAGACCAGGUGUAGGGCUGGAGAGGUGGAUGGAAGCAAGCUCACACAGGGCCCUGAGGUAACCACUGUGCUUGGGGAGUUAGAAUUCUAUUCUGAGGGCAAAGAGUAGCCUUCAACAGAAUUAAGUAGGGCUGUGAUGUCCAAUUUUAAGCUUUAAAAGAUUGAGCACUAGAGGAAGAAGAAGGGUUCAUGACCAACUCCUGAAGUCAUUUAUUCAAAGUAUUUUUGAGUCCCGCUUGGUAUAUAAAAGCCUACAUGGAGUAUUGAAAGGCUUACAGAGGCAAAAACACGGUGUCUUCAUAUGAUUUAAGACUAACAGGAAUGGGGGAAAGAAAUGAGGAAAAGCAAACUAACACUGGAGAAUUCAACUGAUGCUUCAAGGAAGGAUCACCAGCUGUGGGAACUUUUCAAGAAGUAAUUAAUUCUGGAGGUAGGGAUGGGGGUAAGGAGAUGGAGGAGGUUUAAAACCAAAGGGAAGGAAGCAUUUGAGCCAACUCUGAAGAAGUAGAAUAUUGUCUGUUGGAUGGUGUUGGGGGAAAGGGAGGGGAAGUUGGGGAAGUAGUGAGGGACGCCCUUAGAACAGGAUCUGACACAUGGAAAGACUAAAAAUCAUGUGCCAGGCACUGAGGAAUCAGCAGGCUAGGAAGGACUCCUAUUUUAUGUGGGAGAUGGGGUUUGAAGAACAGAGAGUAAACAAACAGGAAAUCAUCAGAAAGUUACACGUGCUCUACAUUGAAUGGGAGUGAUGCUUUGCAACCUCCAGUCCUAUUAAAUUUAUUUUCAAGCCCAGAUUUUUUCAGUUCUGGGCUUUCCACUCUCACCUUCAUCCUAGCCUCUAAUUGAAGGCUAAUCAAAUUUGUUUGUUUGUUUGUUUACUCUUGUUGGAGAUAUCACUUCCUCCAGAAAGACUUAAAGACUUCCCUCCCGCACUAAGCCUAAGUAAGAGGCUCUACUUCUGUUGCCAUAGGAACCUAUUUCCCACUCAAGAUGCUCAUCACACUAGAUCUUAAUUAUCUGUUUACAAUCUAGGAUUAGAAAGUGAAAUCAGCUGAGCUGAAGGGCAAUGUAAGGGCUUGGCUAUGUCUAGCCAUGUUCUGGCAAUGCUGCAGGCUGACUUUGUCACAAAGUGAAUAUAUACAUGCUUUUCAUUCAAAUCCCUAAAGUCCUACUUCACAUAAAAAAAUCAUUUUAUUAAAUGCUUACUCCUGAAGACUUAAAAAUAAGGAGACACAGACUUCUUUCUCUUACGAUAAAGCCCCAAAGGAAGUCAAACCAGUAUGACCUGAGUAGAAAUGACACAUAGUCCUUGAUUAAGACCUAAUUAUAUACAUUCUUAAAAACUCACAAUCAUGAUUAAGAGUAGAGUUCUCUGUAAUGCAUAUAAGUCAUGAAAUCAGGGUCCUCUUGCUCAAACCACAAAUUAAGGAGGAUGAGAUAGCAUAAAUAUAAAUACAGAUGGAAUUUUACACAACCUGAAAUUUUUCAUUAGAUUCAUAAUUACUCUUGCCAGGUGACUACCCAUAAAGAGAAAAUCAGGAGUUCCUGUCGUGGCGAAGCAGAUAAGAAUCCGACUAGGUACCAUGAGGUUGUGGGUUCCAUCCCUGGUCUCAGUUGGUUAAGGAUCUGGCGUUGCCGUGGCUAUGGUGUAGGCUGGCAGCUGUAGCACUGAUUGGACCCCUAGCCUGGGAACCUCCAUAUGCCAGAGGUGCAGC
rnacentral:lncRNA from 1 species